CAAUUUUUAAAAAAAAAUAGGAUUUUGCAGCACGGGCAUACUGUACAAGUUGCAAUUAAACGAAGUAAUCGCAGCUUCUGCCCGUAUUGAAUGCUGCAACUCAGAAUAUUCACAACCUUCAUCUGUCGAGUUUGCUGCAAUUCAAGACAAAAAUUUCGCAAUAUUCAAUUCCCAAUCUUAUCUUCUCAACCCACCACGCACAGAUCUAUAAUUUCAAAAAAUAAAAAUAUCAGAGACUUCUUCAUCAGAUCCCUUCUACACAAAUCUUCGCCGGAAUCUCUAUAGCCAUGCCUCCUUCUACACAAAUCUUAUCGCCGAUGCUUCUUCAUCUUUGAUCCGUUCCUUCGCCGGAAAGGUUUCCUGCUCCGUCGGAAAGGUUUCCUGCUCGCAGCUCGCUGCUCCGCUUCUUCACCGCGGGUAACUACGUACCUUCCUCUUCUCCUCUGCUCCACCGCCUGUAACACCGCCUUGUAACAUCGGAAAAGGAUCGCUUCCAACCUUGCCCUUCCAACCCUCAUUGUUUCUCCUUCAAGUGUGAGAGAUUUCAGUGUUGUGUUUUCUUGGCAUUCAAGUGCAGAAAAUCUGCUCAGUGGGUUAAUGCUCUACUCCUACCCCACUAAAAUAGUUCCCAUCUAAAUGCAGAGUUUCCAAGCUUCUAUUCUUAAAUAGCCCUGCUGAUACAUAGACUACCCCUUUAUCUUUCAAACAAUAUGUUGUCUUCCCAAGUCCACUCAUACCAAUCAUUGCUAUCGUAUUGGUAAGUAUUCUGGUAUCCUCAAACUCGUGCAAAUCUAGCAACUGAAUCAAAUCAUUCUUGGCAGUUUCAGCACCAACAGGUUGAGAUUCCUGAUCUGUUAUACAUACAGAAAGUAUUGUCGAUUGAUGAAUGGAUUGGAAGUAAGAAGAAUGUUGCGGCUGAUUGACAGUAGUACUAGUACUACUACUACUGUCAUUCGGUAAUACGUAGGCUUCUUUCAGUGUACGGAUAUCAACUGCCUUUUUGCACAAGGCCUUAAUUUCAAUGGCAAUGUUUCGCUUGUGAUACAAUAGUGCAGGAUACUGAAGUAAUGCAUUGAUUCCACACUAGUAGAAAAAAUGUCAUUUUGACUACCUGGUUCA